rnacentral:lncRNA from 1 species
GGGUCGCUUGGAUUUUGAAGAUCCGGCAGGGGCGGAGCUAGACGACGCCGUAUUGGAAGGCAUAGCUGAGGGAAAAAGUGAGAGGGAUUGUGCGUGGGAGGAAGGAGGAAAUAGAGAAAGGGAGUAGGAAGAUGAAGGAAGCUUGGUCGUCGUCAAAGGCGACGGCUUUAAGACGAAUUAAGGUACGAUCUAGAAGAAAAGAAAACCCCCAAAUCGAAGUUUCGUAGAUCCUCCUCUCCUCCCUCUCCCAUGGCUGAUUUGGUCAAAGUC